GCGGCUAUCGUCUAGUGGUUUAGGAUCUCACCUUCCCAUUUGCCAAGUUGGCUCGCGUUUACGUGAGGAAUCAGGUGAGGACGGGAGUUCGAACCUCCCUGGUCGCA